rnacentral:rRNA from 1 species
UACGUAGGGGGCAAGCGUUGUCCGGAUUUAUUGGGCGUAAAGAGCGUGUAGGCGGCCAAACAGGUCCGCUGUGAAAACUCGAGGCUCAACCUCGAGAGGUCGGUGGAAACCGUAUGGCUAGAGUCCGGAAGAGGAGAGUGGAAUUCCCGGUGUUGCGGUGAAAUGCGCAGAUAUCGGGAAGAACACCCGUGGCGAAGGCGGCUCUCUGGGACGGUACUGACGCUGAGACGCGAAAGCGUGGGGAGCGAACAGG